UUAAGGCCCAAUCGAAGCUGACCGCGAUCCAUAUCACGUUUCAGUCAAUAUGAGGCCUAUAGUAACAUUUGUCGAUAAGGUCGCACGUGCGUGACAUACGCAACUGUGCAUCACCCACGACAAAUACAAAA